CAAUCAGCUUUCCUAAAAGCUACAUAAUCUGACAAUUCAAUUUUAAU
rfam:Mesitornis unicolor contig34742, whole genome shotgun sequence.